UACAGAGGGGGCAAGCGUUGUUCGGAAUUACUGGGCGUAAAGGGCGCGUAGGUGGCCUUCUAAGUCGAACGUGAAAUCCCCGGGCUCAACCCGGGAACUGCGUCCGAUACUGGAAGGCUUGAAUCCGGGAGAGGGAUGUGGAAUUCCAGGUGUAGCGGUGAAAUGCGUAGAUAUCUGGAGGAACACCGGUGGCGAAGGCGACAUCCUGGACCGGUAUUGACGCUGAGGCGCGAAAGCCAGGGGAGCAAACGGG
rnacentral:rRNA from 1 species